UACGGAGGGAGCUAGCGUUAUUCGGAAUUACUGGGCGUAAAGCGCGCGUAGGCGGCUUUGUACGUUAGAGGUGAAAGCCCAGGGCUUAACCCUGGAAUUGCCUUUAAGACUGCAUCGCUAGAAUCGUGGAGAGGUGAGUGGAAUUCCGAGUGUAGAGGUGAAAUUCGUAGAUAUUCGGAAGAACACCAGUGGCGAAGGCGACUCACUGGACACGUAUUGACGCUGAGGUGCGAAAGCGUGGGGAGCAAACAGG
rnacentral:rRNA from 1 species